CCUACGGGAGGCUGCAGUGGGGAAUAUUGGACAAUGGGGGCAACCCUGAUCCAGCCAUGCCGCGUGUGUGAAGAAGGCCCUCGGGUUGUAAAGCACUUUCAGUGAGGAAGAACGCCUGGUGGUUAAUACCCAUCAGGAAAGACAUCACUCACAGAAGAAGCACCGGCUAACUCCGUGCCAGCAGCCGCGGUAAUACGGAGGGUGCGAGCGUUAAUCGGAAUUACUGGGCGUAAAGCGCGCGUAGGUGGCUUGAUAAGCCGGUUGUGAAAGCCCCGGGCUCAACCUGGGAACGGCAUCCGGAACUGUCAAGCUAGAGUGCAGGAGAGGAAGGUAGAAUUCCCGGUGUAGCGGUGAAAUGCGUAGAGAUCGGGAGGAAUACCAGUGGCAAAGGCGGCCUUCUGGACUGACACUGACACUGAGGUGCGAAAGCGUGGGUAGCAAACAGGAUUAGAUACCCCUGUAGUC
rnacentral:rRNA from 1 species